rnacentral:rRNA from 1 species
AGAGGGGGCUAGCGUUGUUCGGAAUUACUGGGCGUAAAGGGCGCGUAGGUGGCCUGUUAAGUCGAACGUGAAGUCCCCGGGCUCAACCCGGGAACUGCGUCCGAGACUGGCAGGCUCGAAUCCGGGAGAGGGAUGUGGAAUUCCAGGUGUAGCGGUGAAAUGCGUAGAUAUCUGGAGGAACACCGGUGGCGAAGGCGGCAUCCUGGACCGGUAUUGACGCUGAGGCGCGAAAGCCAGGGGAGCAAACGGGAUUAGAUACCCCGGUAGUCCUGGCCCUAAACGAUGAAUGCUUGGUGUGGCGGGUAUCGAUCCCUGCCGUGCCGAAGCUAACGCAUUAAGCAUUCCGCCUGGGGAGUACGGUCGCAAGGCUG